rnacentral:lncRNA from 1 species
AGCUUACUUAAUUACUUGAUUGCUUCUCUUUUUGUUUUUUAACCUAAGUUUGAAAUAUUACUCAGAGAACUAAUAACUUUUUAUUUUAUACGUUUUCUGAAAUCUGAUGAAAAUAAAAAAUGUAACAAUGUUUUAUCUCUACAAGAAAAUACAUCAGAAAACGAGUUUAAGAGUACUAAAAAAAAUUAUGAUUCCAAUAACUUUAAUGAAAUUACUAACUACAUAGCGUUUUACCACGAAAUGAUUAUUCUAAACAUUUUUGAACUUAUUUUAUUUUCUGAAUAUGUUUAUGAUAAAAUAGAUUCUUAUAUUAUCAACCUGUUUGCAUAUAUAUACACAAAUUUAGUAUCUUUUCUUAAAACGUAACACAAAAUAAAACAUAAAAAGCGAAACUGUUAUUUAAAAAU